GAACAGUCUGUGCACCCUGGAUGUAGAGAGAGAGAGAGAGAGAGAGAGAGAGAGAGAGAGAGAGAGAGAGAGAGAGAGAGAGAGAGAUCACUCCAUUGAGUACCUGGAUAGAGAGAGAGAGAGAGAGAGAGAGAGAGAGAGAGAGAGAGAGAGAGAGAGAUCACUCCAUUGAGUACCUGAUGUAGACAGAGAGAGAGGGAGGGAGAGAGAGUCAGUGAGUACCUGGAUGUAGAAAGAGAGAGAGAAGCAGAGAGAGACAGUCCAGAGUGUACCUUGGUGUAGAAACAGAGAGAGACUAGUGUGUACCUGGAUGUUGAGGCAACAAGAACAGACUUGUUUAGAAAUUGUGAAAAGCAGAAGAAGAAGAAGAAGAAGAAGAAGAACGCAUGAGGCAGGAAGUAGGAAGUGUGAUACCAGCGGGUUCCAUAACGUCAGCCUCACUUAGCUCACCUCCUCGCUAUCUCUCUAGAUAAUGUGUGUGCACACGUUUGUGUGACUGUGUGUGUGUGAGUGUGUGUGUGUGGGGGGUGUGAGGUCAGAUGUGUGUAUGUAUCUGUGUGGAUGUCUAUGUGUGUGUGAGUGCGCGCACGACAGGAUCUGAUACUGAAGAAUGUCUCUGAAACUACCUCGGACAUGGGACUUCUCCACCUUCAAGACGGAGACGGCCAGAAUAGGUAAGACCUGUCUGUGUGUGUCUAGGAACAGAACAAGGCUUUUCUCCAUGAGCAGAGUAGGACGGAGUAAGAGGAAGAACUAGACCUGGAGAUUAUGCAAUUCUCCUAAACCUAAACCAUCUAUUUGUCUUCAUGCGUUAAUCUGUGGAUGUUCUCAUCACUUCAGUGUUUCCAUUAACCCAGAUGAGCUUUGUGUUUCUAACGUGUUAUUUAUUAUUCUGAAACAGUAUGGUUGUUUCAUGUCAUAUGUUAACUUAGACUGUGCUGUUUACUGACAGGAUGAAAUAAUAUACAACCAUACUAUGGUUUUAUCAAUGUGCAAAUAACAUGCCGCAGUGGGAGAGCCUAUGUGUUUGUGUGUGUGUGUGUGUGUGUUUGUGUGUUUGUAUGUGUGGAAUUCAGCAUAGUGUGCGCAGGUCUGUGGUUCUGCAGUAGCUGGCGUGUCUGGAAGUGUUUGAGUGCAUGUUGCACAGAAUGUGUGUCACAGAAUGUGCAUUUAUAGUAUAUAUAUAUAUAGUAUAUUUGUGUGUACCAGUGUGUGUGUAACAGUAUGUGUUUGCUAGUGUGUGUAACAGUGUGUAGGUACCAGUGUGUGGAACAGUGUGUGUGUACCAGUGUUUGCAACAGUGUGUUAGUACCAGUGUGUAGCAGUGUGUUAGCACCAUUGUGUGUACCAGUGUGUGUUAUAGUGUGUGUAGCAGUGUGUGUAGCAGUGUGCGUAGCAGUGUGUGUAACAGUGUGUGUGUAGCAGCCCGAUAGUACUGCAGUCACGGGCGUGUUGGAGACGUUGGUUCAGAGGGCAUGGGAUCAGAUUCUCACCCCCACCACAAACACCCCACCACAAACACCCCACCACAAACACCCCCACCCUAAUGCCAGGGCGGAGGGUUGGGGUGUGGACGGCCGGCCGCGGUUCUCUGGAAGACUCUGCCCUCCUCCACCCAUGGGGACCCAAGGGUGGAGGAGGGCAGUGGAACCACAAGGACCAGCUGGGUAGAGUAGGUGGAGACGGCCUGAGUGAGUGUGUGUGUGUGUGUGUGUGUGUGUGUGUGUGUGUGUGUGUGUGUGUGUGUGUGUGUGUGUGUGUGUGUGUGUGUGUGUGUGUGUGUGUGUGUG
ensembl:lncRNA